GAUGAACGCUGGCGGCGUGCUUAACACAUGCAAGUCGAACGGUGAAGGCGGAGCUUGCUCUGCUGGAUCAGUGGCGAACGGGUGAGUAACACGUGAGCAAUCUGCCCCUGACUCUGGGAUAAGCGCUGGAAACGGCGUCUAAUACUGGAUACGAGCUGCGAAGGCAUCUUCAGCAGCUGGAAAGAACUUCGGUCAGGGAUGAGCUCGCGGCCUAUCAGCUCGUUGGUGAGGUAACGGCUCACCAAGGCGUCGACGGGUAGCCGGCCUGAGAGGGUGACCGGCCACACUGGGACUGAGACACGGCCCAGACUCCUACGGGAGGCAGCAGUGGGGAAUAUUGCACAAUGGGCGAAAGCCUGAUGCAGCAACGCCGCGUGAGGGACGACGGCCUUCGGGUUGUAAACCUCUUUUAGCAGGGAAGAAGCGAAAGUGACGGUACCUGCAGAAAAAGCGCCGGCUAACUACGUG
rnacentral:rRNA from 1 species